CCUACGGGCGGCAGCAGUGGGGAAUAUUGGACAAUGGGCGAAAGCCUGAUCCAGCCAUGCCGCGUGUGUGAAGAAGGCCUUCGGGUUGUAAAGCACUUUCAGUGGGGAAGAAAGCCUUGGGGCUAAUACCCUCGAGGAAGGACAUCACCCACAGAAGAAGCACCGGCUAACUCCGUGCCAGCAGCCGCGGUAAUACGGAGGGUGCGAGCGUUAAUCGGAAUUACUGGGCGUAAAGCGCGCGUAGGCGGUCUGAUAAGCCGGUUGUGAAAGCCCCGGGCUCAACCUGGGAACGGCAUCCGGGACUGUCAGGCUAGAGUGCAGGAGAGGAAGGUAGAAUUCCCGGUGUAGCGGUGAAAUGCGUAGAGAUCGGGAGGAAUACCAGUGGCGAAGGCGGCCUUCUGGACUGACACUGACGCUGAGGUGCGAAAGCGUGGGUAGCAAACAGGAUUAGAUACCCCGGUAGUC
rnacentral:rRNA from 1 species